rnacentral:rRNA from 1 species
CAGCAGUGGGGAAUAUUGCACAAUGGGCGCAAGCCUGAUGCAGCAACGCCGCGUGAGUGAUGAAGGCCUUCGGGUCGUAAAGCUCUGUCCUCAAGGAAGAAUAAAUGACGGUACUUGAGGAGGAAGCCCCCGGCUAACUACGUGCCAGCAGCCGCGGUAAUACGUAGGGGCAAGCGUUAUCCGGAAUCACUGGGCGUAAAGGGUGCGUAGGCGGUUUUCAAGUCAGAAGUGAAAGGCUAUGGCUCAACCAUAGUAAGCUUUUGAAACUGUUAAACUUGAGUGCAGGAGAGGAAAGUGGAAUUCCUAGUGUAGAGGUGAAAUUCGUAGAUAUUAGGAGGAACACCAGUGGCGAAGGCGACUUUCUGGACUGUAACUGACGCUGAGGCACGAAAGCGUGGGGAGCGAACAGGAUUAGAUACCCUGGUGA